UACGUAGGGGGCAAGCGUUGUCCGGAUUUAUUGGGCGUAAAGAGCGUGUAGGCGGCCGCACAGGUCCGUUGUGAAAACUGGAGGCUUGACCUCCAGACGUCGAUGGAAACCGUGCGGCUAGAGUCCGGAAGAGGAGAAUGGAAUUCCUGGUGUAGCGGUGAAAUGCGCAGAUAUCAGGAAGAACACCCGUGGCUAAGGCGGUUCUCUAGUACGGUACUGACGCUGAGACGCGAAAGCGUGGGGAGCGAACAGG
rnacentral:rRNA from 1 species